UUACAAGUGUCACACGGAACUGCCGGGUCAUAAACCGGAGGAAGGUGGGGAUGACGUCAAGUCAGCAUGGCCUUUAUAUCCUGGGCUACACACACGCUACAAUGGGAAGGGACAAUAGGUUGCGAAGCCGCGAGGUGGAGCCAAUCCAGCAAAACUUCCCUCAGUUCAGAUUGCAGGCUGCAACUCGCCUGCAUGAAGUUGGAGUUGCUAGUAAACGCAGGUCAGCCAUACUGCGUUGAAUACGUUCCCGGGGCUU
rnacentral:rRNA from 1 species